UAAGCAUCAAUUCUUUCGCAGAUCGCACAUUCGAAUGUAUCCCUGGAUUUGUCAAAAUCAUUCGGUAUUGAAGAAAAGGUGGACAGAUGUUCCGAGUGUCAAAAGAGAAACGUAAAUGUUACGGCAAGUACGAAAUCUAAUGUACUUCCGUUCUUCUUUCAUGUCUCAAUCGAUAUUAGGGUUCAACGUCACAAUGCACGAUCGUUUUUUUUCUCCUCCGAUAUCAGCAAUAUAAUCCCAUGAUACGGUAAAAGAUAGAGAAAGAAAAAAUGAACAAGAUAACUUCACUUUUUUUACAACCAGGAAACUACUGAAAUGUUAUAAAAAUGUGGCUACUUUCAGUGAAAGUUUAAAGUUCUCUUUGUAACCGCUUUUAACCUUGGCUAUUGACAUUAGCAUUGACCUUGCGCGUAGAAGUUGCGCUUUCGAGUCCAGUUAAAAUAAUUUCCUAAACUCUCGAUGUAAUUAGUUUUUAAUUUCGUUUGUUACUAUUUAAAGAUACUGACGCAUUAAAGAAUUUACCAAAAUCAUUGUUAAAUGUAUUAGAAAGUUAUUAAUUGGGAAAUAUGUAGUAAAUUACCAUUUUAUAAAAGAAAACGAAUGCAUACUGCCUUAUAAGACAUUAAGAGAUUAUAAAUUAAGAUUUAAAAUUUUCAGUUGACAAGAUUUUAAAGAUAGAAUGAGGGUUAACUAUUGAUAUAUAAGACGCUUUAGGUUUAUGUCGAUAAAUUCUUCAUCCACCCUAAUAUCUCGCAGAAUUUCGCAGGAUAAAGGCUAGUUUAUCGACUGCCUUGAAUUUGUAUAACCAUUUUAUAACUAGCAAUCGCAUUAAAACAUUUCCUAGAAAUCCAAUCAUUUCAUUGGAUAACGUUUAUAGUCAGUUAUACCGUUCUUUCAAAAUUCCCCUAUCAGUAUUUCUAGAUAAUAAUUUCCAAGAUAGUAUACUUUUCUUAUUAUUAUAAUUUAGAUUGAAAAUUAAUGCAUGACAAUGUAUCAUUAAAAAUCAGACACUGAUAACAAAAUACAGUACUUGAAGUUAAAAAUUGCGAUGUCACCGACUGAUAGCGCCAUCUAUUCUUCGCACAAUGCAUUGUUCACACUUUGUUAGAAAGGCAUGAAUGAAGUGCCGCAGUAUUUGUACGGAACCUCUUCGGAAGUGCUGUUUUAAAUUCGUAGAUAUUAAAUAAUACUGCCAGAUAGCCCUAAUCUUGAAAUCACAGAGGUCUAUCUAAAAAAGAACAUUCUUCAAUCAAUAAAACAAUUGUUUGGUGAAGAAGGAACCAAGGGUACCAUA